AUACGGAGGGUGCAAGCGUUAUUCGGAAUCACUGGGCGUAAAGGACGCGUAGGCGGGUUGGCAAGUCAGAUGUGUAAUCCUACAGCUUAACUGUAGAACUGCAUUUGAAACUGCUAACCUAGAGUAUGGGAGGGGGAGAUGGAAUUAGUGGUGUAGGGGUAAAAUCCGUAGAUAUCACUAGGAAUACCGAAAGCGAAGGCGAUCUCCUGGAACAUAACUGACGCUAAGGCGUGAAAGCGUGGGGAGCAAACAGGAUUAGAUACCCUAGUAGUCC
rnacentral:rRNA from 1 species